rnacentral:lncRNA from 10 species
CUUCUAAGUAUAGUGACAGUGCAUCAGGCUUUCCUAGUCUCAGCGCAAGCUCAGUGAAAAUCUGGGAAAUGUAAGUGGAAACAUGAGAGACCGCUUUAUUUGGCAGUGCUUACCCCCCCUCAAAAAAAAAAAAGUGGGGGGCAGGACAAAUGGCUAAGCAGUGUUUGGACCGCAGGAUGAACAAUCAAUAGGCAGAAAGCAAGAUUGAGGCUUCCUCAGCUUUUGGAUCGACAAUCGACAGCUGAGAGGCUAUUUUUUGCUAUGGUUGACUAAAUAUGGUCAGGGAAGAGAGAGGCACAAGAGAGCCUGUUUGCCUGGGAGUGCAUGUUUCAAAUGCUUAGCUGCCUAUAAAGCUGUAACAGUUUAGCCAGUGGUCACUGAGGAAGAAUAUAAGUUAGCCUCGUAGUGACCAUGUGGAAGUCCUGACCUCGCUUGCAGACUUGACCUCUGGAUGUGACAAGAAAUGCUGAAUCAGCAAAUAGAGUGAACGAACAAUCAAGAUGAGAUGGCUGCUGUUGAUGUGAUUCUCUAGGUUACUACCUUUCUUCCUGCUGCAAAUGCUGCAUGACACUAAGCUUACAGGAUCUAGAAGCAGACUACAAAAAAAGAAGAAAUUCACUCUGAAGACUGAAGAAACACUAGGCUGAUCUUAAGUUUCCGAAAUACACUCUGUAACACUACACUGAUUCUUUGAAUCUCUUGCAAAAAGAAUCAAACCAGGACAAAGUUCAACAGAUAACUGGUCAAAUGCUUAGGAAUGUCUAUGUCCACCAAGAAUAUGGAACCAUUAAUGCCAUGCUUCAGGUAAACUUGUUACAAAAUUUAGUCUUCGAUAAAUUAGUCUCUGCAAAUGAUUUACCAUUGCUCUACAUUAGUAAGCUGAAUGUUUCACUAACAAAUAAGAAAAUAAAAUAUUUCAUGUUUUUACAGCUAACAACUUAGUAAUACCUACUCAGAGUACAUACUUCUUUAUGUACCCAUAUGAACAUACAAUGCUAUGGAAUGUAAAGAAGUAUGUAUUUUUGGUAGGCAAUAAACCACCAAGGGAGAAUUAAACUGAGCUAAAAGAAGCUCUUGCUUCUUUCUACGUGAAUGACCGUCAUAUGGUAAAUUAACCUAGUCAUGAACAGAUGACCUUUGGCAAUACUAACACCAAAAAAAAAAGGUUAUCUACUACUGAUAGAUAGAAACUAUCCCUAAGGUUUUUAUUUCAUGAAGGAAAAGAAGAUCCAGUGAAGUAGAUUUCAAUUAUCAUGAAACUCCUUUUAAAUCAUCUAAGUUUAAAACAGACAUCUUACAUUUUUAAAUUAGGCACUCUCAUUAUUAAAAUUUGACUGCAAAAGGGAAAAUAGUAUUACUAGCACAAAAGAAUGAGGAAUACACAUGACCUAUUUUCUGUCUCCACAAUUUAAUCUUAAGUAUAUCUCAUUAGUAGGGCUCACUGAUUUGUACAGAAAAAUAAGAUACUAAGAGCUGGCUUCAUUCACAUAAUAAGCUAUUUCUUCUCAUUUUGAUAAAUGUAUAAUUAAUAUUAGAGGAAUUUCUGACCAAAAGUUUUGUUGUUUUAAAAAGGCUUUCUUUUUUGACAGCUACAAACAUAGUGGCCCUUGUCCUUCCUUCUCAAGUUUAUCAGGGUCUUAACCCAAAUCUCUACUUUAAAUGUGAAGUUAAAACUUAAAAUUAAUUAAAAUGUAAGAUUUAAGCAUGAAAAAUGACAAAAUUCUGGUCCACAGCUGUAAGUCAGCAGGGUAUAUUGGUAACAGACUACCAAAUAUUUAAAAGAAAUUAAUUUAUCUGUAUUAUCUUCGAAUUUGCUUUCUCCAAAGAGGGCAUGUAAAAUGAAAGCACUAUAGUCAAGAACCAAUUUAUACAGAUCGAAGAACUGUUUUUAUUGUACUAUGCAAUUACAAUUCAAUUUCUCUAAACUUGAUCAAUCCAUUGUUUAGAAAUAUCAAAAUACUUUUAUUUCACACAGUUUGUAUAUUAUUUAUAAAAAAUUCCAAAUAAUGCUCUUAGCAAAAUUUAUAAGCAGUACCUGUUUUAAGCUACUAAUGACAAAGUUAGAAAAUAAGAGUAAUAUUCACAUAUUCUAACCAUUUCUUACUAAAAGUAUUAUUUCAACUGAAAUAUUUACACAUGUAUAAAAGCAUAAUAUUUUAAAUUUUUUGUAUCAGAAAUUGAAUGGAAAUGACUAAGUUUAACUAUAGUUCAUUUUCUGUUUAAUAAGACUAGUUAAUACAAAGAUGAUUUUCAUUUUAUCAGAUUAUAAAGAAUGAGAAUGACUUACACAUGGCAUCAUAUGUGUUACUGCAUGUUUACUGGAAAUUAUAAAAGGCACAUAAUUUUAAAAUUCUACACUUUCAAAGAAAUUAGUUCAAAGCUUAACUCACAUAAGCAUAGCCCUUCUGAUCAUCCACAAAACAGAAUGGCAAUGAUUCAUGUUCUAUUUGGUAAGUUUACCUGUAUAGGUCCUAAAUACCAAGAACUCAAAAUAUAUACCUCAAAAGUAGAGGUUCUUCUAUAAAAAUACUCAAAGCUUAUUACUCUACUUGUGUUUUAUAAUAAACAGUUAUAUUGGUCAUUCUAUAGGUAUACAAGUUGUUUAAUAAUCCUUCUCAAACAUCCUAGCAACUAAGACUCUCUUUGCUAUAAUAUUAAGACUAUAUAAAUAAUCCUUAGAAAAUAAAAUGACAGGCUAUUCAUUUUUAAAAGUAAAAUUAUAUGCUGAUUCUGGUGCUUGCGAGUUUAACUUAUCUAAGAGUAUUUUCAAUCACUCUAAAAUGUCACAUCUAUCACUUAGAUCAGCUGUUCAUUUUUAACUGAGUACAUAUUAAACUCUGGGCAUCUGCUGACACUGGUAUAACUCAAACAUUUCAACUGUCUCCCUGACAGGGAUAACAGAUGCUGACAUUAUCAAAUGCUGUACUAUUUUUUUCCCAUGGCCUCUCCUUGCCCCGAUAUGGCCAGUAUAUGAAACUGAACUGCCAUCCAAAAACACACUUGAGCAACUGGAUCUGCUAAACAGCUCCCAUAUAACUAGUAAAAAUAGAAGCCAGUAUUAUUGCUAUCUUCAGCACUUAAGUUUAGGCAGUUUAACACCUGUUUCACUUCUACUAGAAAAAAUGAUGAAAAAGAAUUGUAGUUAAUUUCACCAGCAGUAUGAUACUUACCAACCAACAGACGCAGAAUAUACUUAGUGUAAGAGUCAUUUGCAUACUGCCUGAAUUAGCGUUGACCUCUCAGUUUAAAAUAGUAACUGUAAAGAAUAUUUCUCUACUCUAUAUUUCUCUGAGAGCACUUAACUUUAUAGGCAAAUUAUAAUUUAUCAAACUUUUAUUUUAUGCAAGAAGACACCCCUCUCAAGACAUUGAAAUCAACAGUAAAACCACAUUAUAACAAAAAUUUACUCUGAUUUUUCAAGUAUUAUCCACACAAUAGAUUUUAAUACUUGUAUCCAUGGAUUGUAACUAACCACCAUGUAUUACUAAGGCGAUAAUGAGAAGUAACUUGGCAAUCUGUACCCAAAAUGACAAAGAACUUAGUCAAGGAAAUAGACCUUUAAAAGGGUUAAAUUACUAAGCUAUGAUUAGUAACACCACGUAAGCAAAAACAAAGAAAAACUGGCAUGCAUGGUAGUUCCUUUCGACACAAGUCCAAGCAAUACACUGAAUACACAUGUGAUCUAUUUAUAAAUCAAAGGGCAGAGGUACUUUCUUAAGGCCACUGAUAUUCCUACACCCAUCAACAAUUUGCUAUUAGCCCUCAACUAUAAUGCUAAAAGAAGCAGUGGCAGUAGAAGGGGGUGACUAACUGAACUCUUCCCCAACCUUUUAGCUUAACUAUUUAUCUGGUUUGCUGCCUAGAGAUAAAUGGAAAACAUUACUCUAAAAUACAUCAAGGUCUAUUUGUUCCUUUAAAUACUAUUGGUUUUGAAAUAGCUUAUUGUCUACAUGUAAGAAUUAAGCAAAGACUUCGGCUGUGGACAAGAUUAGAAAAAGAAAAAGAAGCAAAGAUGUUGAAAACAAAGACGUACAUUGAUCAUUCCUUAAUGCAGUAAUGUGUUAAAAGGAAAAGAUUUUUAAACCAUUAAGCGCAGGAAAACAGUAGGAAAGUGACUUCAAAAUGGAAAAUUUGACAUUCAGUGACUGAAGCAUUGGUAUGAUAAUUUCUAACACUUGUAGAAGGUCCAUGACUGUAAUUUUACCAAUGAAAAGCAUUUAACUGUUUUGGAUUCCAAACUAGCAGCACUACAAUGCUUUGCUAGAGCUGGUAAAAUGGAACCAAAUCGCCUCUUCAAUGGAUUUGGUCCCCUUCAACCAGCUGUAGCUAUGCAUUGAUUACUACGGGACAACCAACGUUUUCAUUUGUGAAUAUCAAUUACUUGCCAACUAAUUUCAACUUAUUUACAUUAUGCAGACUGUGAUUAUAAUCAAAUAACUUGUUACUGUUAAUUCUACCUGGAAAAGCUAGAAUGGUUAAAGAUGUUUAUAAAAAGCUUUAUGAAAAAUGUAUGGAUGACUUAAGGAUUUCAAAUAAAAAUUUUACUUAUUAUGGUCUCUUGGUAUUAAAUUUCUUAUCCUUCAGAAAAGAAAAGAACUGGUAAUAAAAUGUAGGCUAUGCUUCAUAAUAACAACAACAACAAAAACUUCCUUCAAAGGAAGAAAAUAUCUGGAAAGGUCACCUAAAACCCACCUGAACACAUAAUGGGAUUGUACAGUGUGGUUUACAUGGAUGUGUGCAUAUUUAAAUUAAAGAAAACUGUAACAUUAUAUAACACUCUAGAAAUGUUUAGUCACUAUCUUCCAUAGUAUUGGCCUUUAAUUUUACCGCUAUUUACCUGAAUGUUAGCAGGUAAGGUGAAAAAGAUGAUAACUGUAGAAUAUCUUGUGGAGAGGCUUAAAACAGUUAUCUAGUUCUUCUGACCCUGAAUCAAAGGUUUUUAGUCUUCAAAAAAGAAAGAAAAUGCUAAGCAUCACUACUUUUACUCAUGAAAUAUUUCACCUCUCCAUAUUUGUUUUCACAGCUGUAAAAUGAAGAACUCUGCUAACAAUAAAUACUAUG